rnacentral:miRNA from 1 species
UGGUCGGUUCGAGUACGUGAUAUUUCGGAACAGAAUCUAGAUCCGUCGAUAUCAAUGUUAUCUAAUGGGAACUAGAUUCUGUUCCGAAAUAUCACAUACUCGAAC